GCGCUUGGUUGAAAAGCCAGUGG
rnacentral:sRNA from 1 species